rnacentral:rRNA from 1 species
CUUGGAAGCAGCCAUUCAUUUAAAGAGUGCGUAACAGCUCACUAGUCGAGCGGUUUGGCGUGGAUAAUAAUCGGGCAUAAGCUAUUUACCGAAGCUGUGGAAUAUAAUAUAUUGGUAGGGGGGCAUUCCAUAUUCGUCGAAGAUAGAGGGUUACCUUUAUUGGAGGGUAUGGAAAAGCAAAUGUAGGUAUAAGUAACGAUAAGGAGGGCGCGAACCCCUCCCGCCGGAAGACUGAGGAUUCCUGAACAACGUUAAUCGGUUCAGGGUUAGUCGGGACCUAAGGAGAAGCCGAAAGGCGCAUCUGAUGGAAGAACAGGUUAAUAAUCCUGUACUGGCGUAUGGAGCGAAGUGGGGACGGAGAAGUGAAAGUCCUGCGUACUGACGGAAUAGUACGUUGAAGGGUGUAGGUGUAGAUAUUCGUAGGCAAAUCCGCGGAUAGAGCCGAACCUGAAAGUACCGAGCGUCUUCGGACAAUCGGAUAUGGAUGUAAUCAGACUCCCUAGAAAAACCGCUAAGCAUAUUCAUACGGCACCCGUACCAUAAACGGACACACGUGGUCAAGUAUAAAGUAUUAAGGCGCUCGAGUGAUCCGCGGCUAAGGAACUAGGCAAAAUAGUCCUGUAACUUCGGAAAAAGGGACACCUACCCAGUGAUGGGAGGUCGCAGAAGAAUGGCCCAGGCGACUGUUUAACAAAAACAUAGGGCUUUGCCAAAUCGCAAGAUGAAGUAUAAGGCCUGACACCUGCCCGGUGCUGGAAGGUUAAGAGGAGAUGUCAUCGCAAGAGAAGCAUUGAAUUGAAGCCCCAGUAAACGGCGGCCGUAACUAUAACGGUCCUAAGGUAGCGAAAUUCCUUGUCGGGUAAGUUCCGACCUGCACGAAUGGUGUAACGAUCUGGGCACUGUCUCAGCCGCGAGCUCGGUGAAAUUGUAGUAUCGGUGAAGAUGCCGAUUACCCGCAACGGGACGAAAAGACCCCGUGAACCUUUACUGCAACUUAACAUUGAAUUUGGGUAAUUGAUGUGUAGGAUAGGCCGGAGGCUGUGAAGCAGGUACGCCAGUAUUUGUGGAGCCGUUGUUGAAAUACGGUCCUUCAGUUAUUUGAGUUCUAACCCGUGGAUAUGGGGACACUGUUUGGUGGGUAGUUUGACUGGGGUGGUCGCCUCCAAAAGAGUAACGGAGGCUUCCAAAGGUACCCUCAGGCCGAUUGGUAACCGGUCGCAGAGUGUAAUGGUAUAAGGGUGCUUGACUGCGAGACAAACAAGUCGAACAGGUAGGAAACUAGGGCAUAGUGAUCCGGUGGUUCCGCAUGGAAGGGCCAUCGCUCAAAGGAUAAAAGGUACUCCGGGGAUAACAGGCUGAUC